ACCUUUUCUGAGGAGAAACAUGAAUAUGCAUAGAGUAUAACUGUAUAUUGUAAUCUGCUGUGUGCCUGUGUGCGCUGUCAGGAGGAGAUAUCCCUGCACACCUGGUGUGCUGAAUAAAGUAAAUCCCCUUCCUUGGACUUUGUCUGGGAAGUGUCUCUUGGCCUGGUUUGGGGCCAUUCACAUCCAUGGGGUUCUGUCAAGUCACAGUGGAGCCUUGGUGCCCUGUUGUUGCACAGCCUCACAAUGCUCUCCUGCUGCCAUGAGGUCCCUCCCUCGGUGACACACUGCAGCCCUGGUUCCAUGAGGGGCUCUUGGGUUCCAUGGUGCACGCCUUUUUCACAUCUGAGCCUUGCUUCCAUGGGUUCCAUGGACUGACAGGGGCCCUCUGCAUUCCAUGGGGCCCAGCUAGAUCACAGCAGAGCCUGGCUUUCAUCAGGUUCUGAUACCUGUUCAGCCAGCUGACUGGGGUGAUUUAAAGAACACAGAAACCAAUGGGAAGAAUGGUCUUAUUUUACUGUGAAUCAAAAUACAUCGAGGAAGAGGAGAGGCCUUCAUCAGGGAUGACCUCCAAUGAGUGGUGCGACCACCUAAAAAAUGGUGGCGCAUGCGUGGUAAAGGUGAUGAUGGGGGUGGAGAUACAAGUGUGACAAACCGAAAAUAGGAGGAGAUGCAGCCUCAGCCAGAUCGAUUAAAAUACUGCUCCAAACAACAACAGAAUGAAAAUGUUCCACCAAAUGGGGAAAAAGAAGACAAGUGGGCCGCAGCCUUUUCUGAAGAGCUUGUGUUGAUUUUGCAAAGUUAGAUGCAAACAAGGUUUGCCAUAUUUCUUUGUCAGAAAAAUGCAGCUAAUGAAUAGAAAUCUAUCCCUGAGGCUGCUAAGUUGGGUAUGAUUUUAGACCUGGGAGGAGCAAAACAGGUUCUAGAGAAGCUGUGGCUGUGUCACCCUUGGAAGUGUUCAAGGCCAGGUUGGAUGGGGCUUGGAGCAACCUGAUUGAGGGGAAGGUGUCCUGAGU